AUUCCCUAGUAACGGCGAGUGAAGCGGGAAGAGCUCAAGCUUAAAAUCUCCGUGCAAGUUUUGCGCGGCGAAUUGUAGUCUAUAGAGGCGUGGUCAGCGUGGGCGCUUGGGGCAAGUUCCUUGGAAGAGGACAGCAUGGAGGGUGAUACUCCCGUUCAUCCCUGAGUGGCUCGUGCGUACGACCCGUGUUCUUUGAGUCGCGUUGUUUGGGAAUGCAGCGCAAAGUAGGUGGUAAAUUCCAUCUAAAGCUAAAUAUUGGUGCGAGACCGAUAGCGAACAAGUACCGUGAGGGAAAGAUGAAAAGAACUUUGAAAAGAGAGUUAAAGAGUACCUGAAACUGCUGAAAGGGAACCGAAUCGUUUCCAGUGUCUAUAAUCCGUGGCAUAUUUCAUUGGCGAGUGUGCGCGUGCGUGUGCUGUGGCAGUGGCUUUUUUGGCUGCGCUCGGUGUGUGUGCUGUGUGUGCUUGCUGGUGCCCUGUGCUGCGGUGGGACGUCAAGGUCAGUUCGUAUGCUGCGGGAAAUGGCUGCCGAGGAGGUAGGGCUUACGCUCCGCGUUUGUCUGUUAUAUCUUGGUGGACGAGUCGUCGCGGUUGGGACUGAGGUGCCUACAACGUGCUUUUGAGUGGGUUUGUGUCUCCGUGUGCGCCGUGUGCGGAUAGCUUGCUAUGCGUGUGUGGUUGUGUGUGGAUUGAUGCGGGCUUUAACUUGUCGCCGUUCGGGACGUUGACGAAAUGGAGCGAUCCGACCUUUUGA
rnacentral:rRNA from 1 species